GCCUUGAAGCAAUGUUGACCUUACGAAUCGUGUCAGGUUCGGAAGAAAGCAGCACUAAGUUCGGAUUGGCAUGUGCUUCAAGUUAUU
rnacentral:SRP_RNA from 1 species